UGCCAGCCGCCGCGGUAAUACGGAGGGUGCAAGCGUUGUUCGGAAUUAUUGGGCGUAAAGCGCGUGUAGGCGGUUCGUUAAGUCUGAUGUGAAAGCCCGGGGCUUAACCCCGGAAGUGCAUUGGAUACUGGUUGGCUAGAGUACGAGAGGGGGAAGUGGAAUUCCUGGUGUAGGGGUGAAAUCCGUAGAUAUCAGGAGGAACAUCGGUGGCGAAGGCGGCUUCCUGGCUCGUAACUGACGCUGAGACGCGAAAGCGUGGGUAGCAAACAGGAUUAGAUA
rnacentral:rRNA from 1 species